AAUAAAGGGUAAAAUGAAUAGUAUCAGGAUUGAGUUUUUAAUAUAAAAAUGUGAUUUUUCAUUAAAGUGAACAAUACUGUGAAUUUUUUGUUAAAACUCAUUUUUUUUUCAUACAAACAUAUGGUCCAAAUUUAUAGAUCCUUAAACUCUAGACACUAAGGUCCAUAAUGGAUCUAGUUCCUCAAAAUAUUUCGCGCUCACACAAUCGGCUUAAUUAAUAUAGAAACAAUUUCCACACAUAAAUUUUUAUCUCUUUUUUUUACCAAAAUAUUUUUCUUUUUGAACACCUUAAUGAAUACCGCUUUCAUUUUCUUUUGUUUAAUCUUUAAAAAGUAAAAAUAAAUAAGAGCGCGGAAAAAAAAUUAAUGGAAAUCUCCCCUUAAUAUGUAGCUGCCUUUCUUUGAUCUAUAAAAAUCCACCAACUAUUCUUCUUAUUCUUCUCUUCCUCCUCCUCCUCCUCCUUCUUCUUUAUCUUGUCAAUUCUUCGCCUUCUUAUUCUCGUCAAUUCUUCUUCUUCUGGUAAAUUCUUUUUCUACACCCUUCAAUCUCAUAUCCAUACCCCUACAAACUCAAAGAUGGAUGACAAAAUUACUAAUAAGUCAUCAGUUCAUAAAGAAGCAGCCACCCUUCCACCCAAGAGAGGUAAAAUCAAAUCCAAAAUCUUUGAGGACAUAAAAGAGACUGUCAUCAAUCUGAUAGGAAUGGGAAAUGCAAGUGACAGCUCAUCAGCAGCUCCAGCAAAUCAGCAGCCAAAUGAAAAGAAAAAGGCUUGAAGAGCAGAUUCUUUCUGUUGGUGAAUCUUUCAAGUUUUUUACUGUGACAAAUUUCCUGUUUUAACUUUAUGCACAUUGUUAUGUUGUAAUUUUUACAAUCGAUUUGUUCUUGCUUGAAGUCAAAUUAUUCCCCUUUUACUAACUAAUUCACAUGUUUGAGAAAUUUGAAAAUGUCCCAUUUUAUGAAGAUUAUGUAGGAAAUGAAGGUGUUAAAUUGCUAUAAAUAAUGAACAGAAAUUAAAUAUUAUGAAUAUGCACGCAAUAGAAUGGAAUUAGAAAAAUCUCAAUUGAGUUUAGGCAAGCUUUCGACGCUUUGACCUUAAGACGAUUGCCGCCCCAUAUUUGUUCUUGUGGUUUACUAUGGUGUUCGUCUCCCAUAAGACGACUCCCUCCUUGUGAAAGAAGUACUGCAAUUCAUAAGGCUCAUUUGAACUCGAAUAUGCAGGAACUUUCUUGAACGAAUUAUUCUAUAAUACAUGCCUAAAUGAUCUCUAGUAUGUAGAAGUAGUGAGUGUAAUUGAAUGAAUAACUUGCAGGAGUAUUCCUAUAUUUAUAGAGAGUCGCUUUGUGUAAUUUAACAUGGGAAAGGUUUCUAUAUGAGUUUAAUUUAUGGGAAGGUGGCGGCUAAGGAUUCGAAGAACUUAGGAGAUGGAAUACAUCUCCCUUUUAGUGUGCAAGAGUUGCCUGAUGAUAAACACGAGUCCCCCAAUGAUGAACUAGAGAGUCAUUGUUGUGAAGAAGAAAUCAACUUUAUCCGGAGCCCGGAGUUGUAUGCGGUUCUUAACUUUGAUCCCUGUUGUAUAAAUUUCAGCCAGCUAUCUUUUUUACAAUAUAUGAUCUAACUUACACGUUAUAAUUCUGAUAUUAGGAUCGCCUCUGGAAUGCCUGUUCAGGUGAGCAGUUGGUACUUUAGGUUAAUAGUUUUAAUUCGUGGAUAGCCACAAGUAAGUGUGCUGUGACUCCGUAUGAGGACCUCCUUCCCUUCUGCCCACUCUCCGUUCUCUAGGGAGUGGAAAAGGGAGAUUCAUUGCAUGAAAUAAAGCCACAACUGAGAAGCUCUAGCCAUCUCAUUGACUAGCAGUCCCGCAACUUGUUCACACAUUUCAUGUUAAACAAGGUGGAACCAGUUGUGAGCUAUAUUGCUUCAUCAUAAGCCCUGACUGAACGCAAAAAUUGCUUGACGGAGAAGAUACCAAUUUUUUAGACGUUCUGGUAUUAUGAAUCUAUGCUUCAAAAAAUGUGAUACGUUUUCUGUAAUAUUCUGAUUUCACAUUUUUAUAAAUACAUUGAAGAAAUUAAAAGAUAAACAGUUUGAUUAGUAUAUAUGUGUAGAUCAGAAUUACGCAUGUUUUAGAAUUUCAAUCAUUGCAUGGUCUCGUCUAUUUCCACAACAGUCUGAAUGCUACGUAAGGAUUAUCUACGUUCCUUGAACAAUCUCCGUGUGUUGUUUGUUUAUCUAUAUCCUUCCCCUUUCUGGAUAAGAAGUUUGUGUUUCUUAGGUACAUAGAACUUGAGUCUUGACAGAGAUAGUAGUGCUAUCCUGGUGAUGGGAAGGACACAACCAAGUGCGACGUUCUGCAUUCCAUCUUCCGUAAGAAAACUGCUUGAGCAUCAAAUGAUGUGCGGAGAUUGUGGUAAGGUGUAUUACAUAGAAUGAUUCUAGAUCAUGCUGGCAGCAUGUGUGCCGUCGCUAUGCAGAGAAAGAAGAUAGUGCAAUGUUGUUGCAGAUUGUGUAAGUGUACAACAAGUUUGCAUUUAACGGGGCAAUGUCACAACCCUGGGGAAGUAGUGCAGCUACGGCUACACCAUGUGAAUGAAUGUAGCUCUGAAAAGAACACGAGCAAGUUGCAAAGUCCUUCAACUACUCGUAGUAUGCAGAUGGGUGUUGUCUGAGGUGCCUUCGUGGAAACGGCCUGCGGUGGGGUAUGUUAAAAUAAAUUGUGAUCGGUCAUGGUGCUCGCAGACAGGUUUUGGUGGAUACGGGUGGGUUGUGCGGUCGUCGGCUGGUAUAUUUAAAGAGGCUGGUGGCUUUCUGUGCAGCUCUAGUGCGACAGUGGAGCCAUAUAUCAUUAGAGCAGGACUAACCGCUUGUCCAGAAUGGGGUUUUAGGAAAGCUGAGUUGGAAUCAGACGCAAAAAGAGAUAUUAGAUAUGGUGACAACAGGGAAGACUACAGAAGGGAUCAUCCACGACAUUCACAUCCUAGCUUCUCAGUUCGAGUCAGCUGUGUUGAAAUUUCCGCUCUAUCUUUUGUGGCUGCCUAUGCUGUUAAGGAAAAUGGUGUUGUUGAGUGGGAUGGUUUUGAGCUGUCAUCUCCAAACGAGAUGUCAAAUACGCCAAAGAGAACUAUAAAAUAUUGAGGUGUUCUCCAAUUUUUUUUUCUUUUUAAAAGGGGAGCAACUAGUAGCAAGUCACGGUUAUCCACCUCUUCUGGGAGUUGAGAGACUCACAAUGACAUUUCAGCCUCCCCUGACCACAAGUCUGACUUCCACACCAGCAGCGGGUUUCAAACCCAAGACUUCAAGUUUUUAAUUUGAAUGAAGCCUCGCAAUUCAUCCUUUAGCUCGUGGUUAAGGUGUACUCCAAUUGACAUGCAAUAUAUGAUGUGGUCUUCUAGCUUGUCUUUUUUAUUACAACAAAGCAAAGAAGAAGUCAAAUAUAUUUAAUAUAUUUUUUUAAUGCA